rnacentral:ribozyme from 13 species
AAUAAAAAAAAAAUAGAAGAAGAAAAAAGAAAAAAGCAAAAUUCAAGAGAUAAUGAAAGAUAUUCAACAAUCUUUCUCCUUGUCUGUACACGCUCACAAUAUUCCGAUCUCUUUCAUCUCUCUUCCAUCCAAU